rnacentral:rRNA from 1 species
GUAAACCCAAGGUUUCCAGGGGAAGGUUCGUCCGCCCUGGGUUAGUCGGGACCUACGCUGAGGCCGAAAGGCGUAGGUGAUGGACAACAGGUUGAUAUUCCUGUACUACCGAUAACCGUUUGAGAGAGGGGAUGACACAGUAGGAUAAGCUAAGCACACUGUUGGUUAUGUGUGCCCAAGCAUUGAGGCAGUCAAAGUAGGCAAAUCCGCUUUGAUAAUGCUGGGAUGUGAUGGGGAGCGAAAUUUAGUAGCGAA